AUGAUGCUCUUCUCUGCACCUUCAUCAUCCUCCUUUGAGCUAAUCAAUUCUCAUUCGUUUCAAAGCUCCCCAACAUCACUUCUAAUUCAACUACCAAUUUCUCCACAUAGCGAUUUCUUCUGCAAAUCGUUCAUCAACCUUCAAAGAUCUUCAUCAACGAAUCUGCAACCUUAUCUGUCUUCAGGCCUCUUCCUUAUCAAUCUAUGCAACGCACCUAGAUUGAGGAUUAUCGUGACCGAUUCCCAACUUCAACAACAACGAAGAUGCAACAGUAAUUAG